UGGGGAAUAUUGCACAAUGGGCGAAAGCCUGAUGCAGCAACGCCGCGUGAGUGAUGAAGGUCUUCGGAUUGUAAAGCUCUGUCUUUUGGGACGAUAAUGACGGUACCAAAGGAGGAAGCCACGGCUAACUACGUGCCAGCAGCCGCGGUAAUACGUAGGUGGCGAGCGUUGUCCGGAUUUACCGGGCGUAAAGGGUGCGUAGGCGGAUGUUUAAGUGAGAUGUGAAAUACCCGGGCUUAACUUGGGUGCUGCAUUUCAAACUGGAUAUCUAGAGUGCAGGAGAGGAGAAUGGAAUUCCUAGUGUAGCGGUGAAAUGCGUAGAGAUUAGGAAGAACACCAGUGGCCGAAGGCGAUUCUCUGGACUGUAACUGACGCUGAGGCACGAAAGCGUGGGUAGCAAACAGGAUUAGAUACCCUGGUAGUCCACGCCGUAAACGAUGAGUACUAGGUGUAGGAGGUAUCGACCCCUUCUGUGCCGCAGUAAACACAUUAAGUACUCCGCCUGGGAAGUACGAUCGCAAGAUUAAAACUCUAAAGUGAAUUGAC
rnacentral:rRNA from 1 species